rnacentral:rRNA from 1 species
AUUGAACGCUGGCGGCAGGCCUAACACAUGCAAGUAGAGAGGAGCGGCGGACGGGUGAGUAAUGCCUAGGAAUCUGCCUGGUAGUGGGGGAUAACGUCCGGAAACGGGCGCUAAUACCGCAUACUAUCAGAUGAGCCUAGGUAGGAUUAGCUAGUAGGUGGGGUAACGGCUCUCCUAGGCGACGAUCCCUAGCUGGUCUGAGAGGAGUACCAGCCACACGUGAACUGCGACACGGUCCAGACUCCUACGGUAGGCAUGAGUGGGGAAUAUUGCACAAGGGGCGCAAGCCUGAUGCAGCCAUGCCGCGUGUGUGAAGAAGGCCUUCGGGUUGUAAAGCACUUUCAGCGGGGAGGCGUUACCCGCAGAAGAAGCACCGGCUAACCCCGUGCCAGCAGCCGCGGUAAUUC